rnacentral:lncRNA from 1 species
GGGUCACUGGGAUUACAGACAGGUGCCAGUGGGUCUGGCUGGGCACUCUAUUUUUAAAGUGUUGAUGCACUUGGUAUCUUCUGAUUAUGAAAAUAAUGAGAAGAGAUCACAUGAGGCUUGAAGCUCAAGAUGAGGACCAGUAAGAAAGAAUGGCAUGGAACCCCAAGUCUAGGACUGGACUACACUGGCAAUAGGAAUUAGACUAGGAAUUGUGGUCAGAGACAACUGGCUUAUUCAAUCUAAGAAUGGACACAUGGCUGGAGUCAGAAAUUUUGGAAAGGGGACCCAUUAUCUUAAUGGGGUAGGUAGAAUGGUCUCAAACAGGGGGAGAAAGUAUCAGUGAUUGAUAUAGGGGUGAGGAAUGCUCCUGUCCUUCCUUGCCCAGUGUCUGACAGGAGCAGAUGCUCUUUUUAUUGUUCAAGUUUCAGGACACUAAUUAAACUCUGUUUAUUUAGAGGGCAGGACAUUCUCCUAUUUCCUGGUAAGUAAAUCUAUUUAAGCUUCUCCUCUUUUUCCCAUUCUAGAUUCUAGAAGUAGAUAGCAG